rnacentral:rRNA from 1 species
UAACACGUGGAUAACCUACCUAUAAGACUGAGAUAACUUCGGGAAACCGGAGCUAAUACCGGAUAAUAUUUUGAACCGCAUGGUUCAAAAGUGAAAGACGGUCUUGCUGUCACUUAUAGAUGGAUCCGCGCUGCAUUAGCUAGUUGGUAAGGUAACGGCUUACCAAGGCAACGAUGCAUAGCCGACCUGAGAGGGUGAUCGGCCACACUGGAACUGAGACACGGUCCAG